CGGGCCAAAGAGGGGGACCUUCGGGCCUCUCGCGUCAGGAUAUGCCUAGGUGGGAUUAGCUAGUUGGUGAGGUAAGGGCUCACCAAGGCGACGAUCCCUAGCUGGUCUGAGAGGAUGAUCAGCCACACUGGAACUGAGACACGGUCCAGACUCCUACGGGAGGCAGCAGUGGGGAAUAUUGCACAAUGGGCGCAAGCCUGAUGCAGCCAUGCCGCGUGUGUGAAGAAGGCCUUCGGGUUGUAAAGCACUUUCAGUCGUGAGGAAGGUGGUGUAGUUAAUAGCUGCAUUAUUUGACGUUAGCGACAGAAGAAGCACCGGCUAACUCCGUGCCAGCACGCGGCGG
rnacentral:rRNA from 1 species